rnacentral:misc_RNA from 1 species
UAUCAUAUCUUAACAUUUUUAUCAUAUCCUAAACGUAUUUUGUUAUAUCUACUCAUAUCUUAUACCCACUGAUUAUGGGAUUAAGAUAUAAUAAUAUUAUGGCUUAACAGGGUCUAUAUAAAGCAUGUUAGGUUAAGAGGGUAAAGGCAGAAUACACUUGAUGCUCUUGUUAGGCAACCUUUAAGCCUAAUUGAGGAAACCCUAUUCUGAAACAAUUCCAACUCUGCACUUAACUUGGAGAAUUAGACUACUUCUUGACUAUUGAAG